AGUGAAGUACCUAAGAGCCAAGCUGGCACACCUCCACCUUCUUCUGCUUGACCUGGGCAGCAGACCUGCCUAUAAUUUCCCCAAAAAGUUUAAUGGAAAUUGUGAACUAGUUGUAGGAAGAACUGAAGAAGUAUUUACCUAUCACCCUUAGGGAGCAGAAAUGCAUGGGGCAUAUUUGUAAGUGGCUAGAAUUCAAUUCAAACUCUUUUUAGUAAUUGUUGUGUGCUGAUAUUUCUGUCUAGUUAAAAUCUACACUUUGUAUACUUAUUUAGGA